CCUACGGGAGGCAGCAGUGAGGAAUAUUGGUCAAUGGACGAGAGCCUGAACCAGCCAAGUAGCGUGAGGGAAGACGGUCCUAUGGAUUGUAAACCUCUUUUAUAUGGGAAUAAAACACGGUACGUAUACCCUUACGUAUGUACCAGAUGAAUAAGGAUCGGCUAACUCCGUGCCAGCAGCCGCGGUAAUACGGAGGAUCCGAGCGUUAUCCGGAUUUAUUGGGUUUAACGGGAGCGUAGGUGGAUGGUUAAGUCAGUGGUGAAAGUUUGCGGCUCAACCGUAAUAUUGCAGUUGAAACUGGCAGUCUUGAGUGCAGUAGAGGUAGGCGGAAUUCGUGGUGUAGCGGUGAAAUGCUUAGAUAUCACGAAGAACUCCGAUUGCGAAGGCAGCUCACUGGACUGCAACUGACGCUGAUGCUCGAAAGUGUGGGUAUCAAACAGGAUUAGAUACCCGUGUAGUC
rnacentral:rRNA from 1 species